AUCACUAGAUAAAAUAGAAUCUGAGGGAUCACACACAAAAGGAGCAUGAUCUGAUCAAUAGUUUGGAUCAUAUUCAAAUUAUCGAUCGGAUUGAUAGUUUGAAUUUUAAAAACUACUAAUUUAUAAGUAUUACAGUUUUGGCAGCUGCUAAUUGUUAGCACAAACUUAAUUGUAAGUGUUGUGAUUUAAUUGGAGUUGAUUAAAUUAUGGAUCAAGUUUUAAUUAAUUUAAAUC
rnacentral:lncRNA from 1 species